GUUCAGAUGUGAAAGACCCGGGGCGUCAACCUCCGGAAUAAGCAUUUGUAAACUAGGCAGACUAGAGUACUGUAGAGGGGGGUAGGGAAUUUCUAGGUGUAGCGGUGAAAUAGCGUAGAGAUCUGAAGGAAUACCGGUGGCGAAGGCGGCCCCCUCGGACAGAUACUGACACUCAGAUGCGAAAGCGUGGGGAGCAAACAGGAUUAGAUACCCUGGUAG
rnacentral:rRNA from 1 species